rnacentral:rRNA from 1 species
AGCAGCCGCGGUAAUUCCAGCUCCAAUAGCGUAUAUUAAAGUUGCUGCAGUUAAAAAGCUCGUAGUUGAAUUUCGGGACUAAUAUGUCGGUCGUGCCUCGGUACGUACUGGCUUAUUGGUUUCUCCUUUCUGAAGAACCAUGAUGUCAUUUAUUUGGUGUCGUGGGGAAUCAGGACUGUUACUUUGAAAAAUUAGAGUGUUUAAAGCAGGCUCACGCUUGAAUACAUUAGCAUGGAUAAUGAAAUAGGACGUUUGAUUCUAUUUUGUUGGUUUCUAGGAUCGACGUAAUGAUUAAUAGGGAUAGUUGGGGGCAUUAGUAUUCAAUUGUCAGAGGUGAAAUUCUUGGAUUUAUUGAAGACUAACUACUGCGAAAGCAUUUGCCAAGGAUGUUUUCAUUAUACAAGAACGAAAGUUAGGGGAUCGAAGACGAUCAGAUACCGUCGUAGUCUUAACCNUAAACUAUAGCCGACUAGGGAUCGGAUGAUGUUAA